GCCUGGCUGGUUCAGUCGAUAGAGCAUGCGACUCCUGAUCUUAAGGUUAUGAGUUCGAGGCCCAUGUCGGGCG
rnacentral:tRNA from 1 species